rnacentral:lncRNA from 12 species
UAAACUCUUGUUUACCUCCUGUGAGCUGCUGAAGAGAGGAGGGAAAAAAGGAAGAGAAGAAAAGAAAAAAAAGAGGCAGCUUUCAGUUACUAAACCCCCUCGUGGUAUUGAAUUCUAACCAAGUACAUCCAGCCCUGCCAGCCAGAAAUGCCAAAAGGAGGAAAGCUGCUGAAUCAGAGGAGAAUCAGGACUGGGAGGAUGGUGGGGAAUAUGAGAGUAGCUCUAGGUGGUUCAGAGAAAAUGUGACCUGGAUCCAAAUCGCCACUGGGUUCGCUCUGCUGAGCCCCAAACCUCCUCAGACAGCCAGAGAUGGAGAAGAAAAGUCAAAUAAACCUUCCACAGGUUCUGCCUCAGUUGUUCUGACACAGGAAACAUCUCUGGGUUCAUCCUGCAACCAAAGCAUUUGUGAUGUGUAAGUGAUUUCAUUUCUCACUGCACUUUUUGGAAGGCUGGGUUCUUACUCCAACAAGGUAAAAAUUUUCCUCAAGUCACAUAAAAAUCUUCUGAGACACAGCCUUUCUUCUUUAAGCACAUUUGAGAGCUCUCUCAAUCAGCCCAAUUUUUACAUUUCCCUAUAAACCCCAAUUCGGUUGGAAUCCAUAGAGAAACAUUUUGGCUUUCUGCUGCCUUGUCCAGCAGCCUGGGCACUUGCUGAAAUAAAUUACAGCUCUUUUUAGAGCUGGACGUGGCCAGGGGUGGACACAGAGGAGCUGAACACGAUGAUCUCAAAAGAGAUGCUCUGAAUUAAGCAGGAGGUUGCUAAGCCACGAGACUGCUGCAGUCUCCAGCAGAAGUUCCAGCACUGAGUCCUUGC